ensembl:lncRNA
CACACACACACACACAAUGACAUGAAAGUAGGGCAUCAUCCCAUACAGCAUGCUAGUCACGGCCUUAUUUGCGCAGGUCAACUAUACUGGAUGCCUUUAAUCAAAACCAGAAGGUUGUUUUAUUGAGUCGGACACUAUGCCUUACAUGAGUCCACUCCUUUAUGCUGAAGGUGAGGUCAGAGGUUAUUUUGAAUAGUAAUUAGAUUUCCACUCUGACCCACCCAAAAGAUCUAUUGUUAACACUCAUGGGAGAACCACACGGGAGAGUCACUGGGCAAUUGCAAGCAUACAUGGACUUUCACAGUACUUUCACUCAGCCCGACAUAGCACAGUUCAUCAUCAUUCAAACAUUAAGAAAAAAAAUUACACAUAAAUACCCAUCCAGAUCUGUCCUUUGAUCAUUGUGCUAUGUAUUAUACCUCAUCUUGUCCAUACCAUUUAUAGGGAAGAGCACUUACAAAGAGAGUAAUGAUGUUUCUGCUUUCAGACUUGUUGUUAUUUAGAUGUUACACGAAGAUCCUGUCCUCUUUGGGAAAAUAUGCUGUAUCAUAUAAGCCUAAGCAAUCACCAUGGAAAGUAAUGUAAAACGUUAGUCUGUCUUUUUGUGGACACAAAUAACAUGAAGCACAAUCAGUAAUAAGUAUUAAAUUGAGCGGAUGAAUACAACCUCCAUGGUAAGCCUUCCAGUGACUGCUCUAGUGCUUUUAUCCACCCAUACAUUCGCUCAGAGUUCUGCUCAGUUAAACACGAUUAAUGAAACAAAUAGAGAAAAUGUGUUCGGAUCUUUUUUCUUUUUUUUUAGGGAAGAGAACGUGCUCAAAUGUCAUUGCGGACAGGCAGAAUUUAUAAUUUAUUCUGGCAAAAUCCCAUUGCCUCAGUUUCCUGCCUCCCACGUUCCAUUCAGUGAACUCACGGCUUCAGCAGAGAUGAGCAGAGAGGCCCAGAGACUGAUAAUACACAUAUGGCACUUCAGCACUCCCUGUAACAAUCGACUUAAUGUGUAUCCUCAAACCAAAAAUAAAUUGAAUACAUUUGUUUUUGUUCAGAUAAAAAUUCAUGAACUUUUUUUUCCCCAAUGACAUCAAUAAUGUAUAACUGAUGGGAAAAAAUUGAGCAAGCGCAUGCCCAAAUCUCUUGUGUGUUUGUGGAUCGCUGGUGUGCAGAAAUGGCCUUUGACAACUGAUAACAGACUUGUGUGUGAGCGUGAGCGCGCACAUACACACACACACACACACACACACAAAAACUGAAAACAUACACCCACACAAACAACUCACUGGAGAUUGAAGAUAGAGACAAAAUAUGCUGUACUUCUGACACCUGCUCCUCUUACUGGUUCUCAAUAUCUGUGUCAUGCAGACACAUCCGACUGAAUACACUGAACAUUUACUGGCACUGAAAGGCUCUUUUUUCAAAGAACAUCACUCUAACAACCUUGAAGAGAGAUCAUAAUGAUUACAGAUAAAUUCAAGGUCAAAAUUAUGGCUUUGAAUCAAUACCACACCAAGUACCAGCACCUCUACAGUAUAUAGCAUAAUGACAAUGAUGGAGUAUGCAUGUAUAUAUAUGUGUACAUGACAUGGAAAGUACUCUGCCAGUAUGAAAUAUGGGACUGCUGCAAUGUUUUGGAUAUGCAAAAAGGCAUCAUUAAUUUGUACCCUUUUGUUUGGUCUGAGUGGAGUAGACGAAGAUGCAUUAUGUUGAGUUUCUCAUCAGAUCUACUGUCAACUGCUUUUUUCCUGAAGAGGCAGGAUUAGCAUAAUAGUUUCCUGCCAUUACGCCCUUGUGGCCUAAAAAUCAAUUUGGAAGUGACAUGCCAAGUGGUCGUGUAAUUAGCAUAAGAACAUCAGACACACGCUCAGACGCACUGUGUCGCGCACACACAAAAAAAUAAUCCUCUGAACAAAAUUUGCCCUUAUGUCUCAGAGUCCUCCUCUCUGCAGGCCAUGGCAAGGUUGAAAUCCCGGGACAACUUCCUCUGAAUAAAUUACCGCCGUGCACGGCAGAGAUUUGCAUAAGCCGUCAGAUCGUCCUUUGAAUCGGGCUAUUUUAAAAGCAGACAUAGCUCCCCGUACCAUUCCUGUUCGCUCCACAGUCACCUGCCAGAGUUAAUCUUCCCCAAAGUCAUUUAAACACUGGAAUUAAACAAACAAGCCACAUAAGGCAAGGGGGCUUUCAUGCCUCCCAUGGAAGAAUCCCACUUUUAUGAGAGGAAGUUCAAAGCCGAGCAGGGGGAAUUGUGGAGCUUAACUGAAGUCCGAGUGGAGCUCCCAGUGCGACAAGAAAUCCCAUUUCCCUACUGUUGGGAUACCUGUUACGCGACUAUGGAGAAAUAUGCAGAUCACCAUAAAAUCUCACUGAUUGACCUAAAAUUGGAAAGAGAUAUCCUUUUGGUGUUUUCAUAGCUUCAUAUUAUUUCUAGCAGGUGAUUGGGGACAGGUGUGUUCCUGAUUGGCUGGGCUAUAAAAGCCCUGACCAGCCGGCAGUCGAGGCUGCUCUGGUCCUCCCGGGAUUUGGAUUUUGGUUCUCCGUUGUCUUUUGUUAUACUCCUAGACUGACUUUGCAUGACAUUUUGGGUUAAUCCUUAUAAUACUGAUAUGCACCACACUUUUGCAUUCUUUAUUCUUAAAUAUUAUCUUUAUAAUUUAAUAAAUUGACUUAAUUAUCAUUUAAAUCUGUGUGGC